rnacentral:rRNA from 1 species
UACAGAGGGUGCAAGCGUUAAUCGGAAUUACUGGGCGUAAAGCGUGCGUAGACGGUUAUGUAAGUCGGGUGUGAAAGCCCCGGGCUCAACCUGGGAAUUGCAUUCGAGACUGUGUAGCUAGGGUACGGAAGAGGGAAGCGGAAUUUCAGGUGUAGCGGUGAAAUGCGUAGAUAUCUGAAGGAACACCAGUGGCGAAAGCGGCUUCCUGGCCUGUUCUUGACGCUGAGGCGCGAAAGCUAGGGGAGCAAACGGG